rnacentral:lncRNA from 1 species
CCCCCCCCGUAGGAUCCUUGAGCGGUUGCAGCGGCAGCCAACUGCUCCAUAUUUGGCUUCUAUUACACAUUUACAUACUGGAGCAAGCGAGCAAGCAAGAGAGAGAGGGAGGGAGGGAGAGAGAGGGAAAGGGGGGGUGGAGGGAGGAGGGAGAGAGGGAGGGGAGUGGAGGAGGAGGAGAGAGCAGUGUAUACCGCAGACAUCAUUUCUACUACAGUGGCAGAGACGUCCAGGACCUGUUUCACUGCAGGGGGAUAAAAAACAAGCCCUGUGGAUCAGCAACAGCAGCAGCAAGCAGCAACAGCCGCCGCAAGACAUUGUUUCUCUCCCUCUGCCCCCCUUCCCCAAGCAACCCCAGAUCCAUUUACACUUUACACUGCAUCACAAGGCAAGCCAGCAGGGUGGUCCAUUCGAACUUUGGAUUUAUUCAUGGUCUUUGUACAGCAGCCCCUUCUCCCAUCAUCACUACUGGGAAGUGUACUAUAAAUCAGUGCAUUGCUAUGCUUAGCAUUCUGUCGUGAAGGCAAAAUGAGAUCUAUCAGUCUGUGAAAACAAGCAUAUUGGAGCACAAUGAAAGAGUUUAUUCCCAGGCCUCAGGAGAAGUUCAGCUGCACCCAGUGAGAAAGAGAGCAAGAGUACACAGAGGGCUGCAUGAAUGGUCUUGAAACAUAUGUGAUUUUAGGUAAGUCUUCUGAACUGAAGGGCUUGGUGCAUAUUGGCUUUUAAUUUCAUUAACUCUUAUUUAUUUUGUGUGCCUGAACAUCUUAUUAGAGUGUGUGACUAUUUCUGUCCAACACAAGCAGUAGGAUAUUGGAGGAUUUGUUUUCUUAAUGAAAAAUCCAGGUAAUACUACCCAGUACAUGGUGUGUUUGUUUCAGAAAUUAACAAAAUGAUACUAUCUGAAUAAACUUUAUUUGUCGAUAGGGAGAAUCA